AACGAACGCUGGCGGCAGGCCUAACACAUGCAAGUCGAACGCCGUAGCAAUACGGAGUGGCAGACGGGUGAGUAACACGUGGGAACAUGCCCUUUGGUUCGGAAUAACUCAGGGAAACUUGAGCUAAUACCGGAUAAGCCCGAGAGGGGAAAGAUUUAUCGCCGAAGGAUUGGCCCGCGUCCGAUUAGCUAGUUGGUGAGGUAAUGGCUCACCAAGGCGACGAUCGGUAGCUGGUCUGAGAGGAUGAUCAGCCACACUGGGACUGAGACACGGCCCAGACUCCUACGGGAGGCAGCAGUGGGGAAUAUUGGACAAUGGGCGCAAGCCUGAUCCAGCCAUGCCGCGUGAGUGAUGAAGGCCCUAGGGUUGUAAAGCUCUUUCGCCAGGGACGAUAAUGACGGUACCUGGAUAAGAAGCCCCGGCUAACUUCGUGCCAGCCGCCGCGGUAACAC
rnacentral:rRNA from 1 species